AAUAGAAAUUAAGAAAACAAUAAUUCCACGAUGCAGAUCAAAAUAGAAAUUGAGAAAAACAAUAAUUCCACAAUGCUGAUCAAAAUAGAAAUUGAGAAGACAAUAAUUCCACAAUGCAGAUCAAAAUAGAAAUUGAGAUGACAAUAAUUCCACAUUGCAGAUACCAAAUAGAAAGUGAAACAUCAACCUGAUCAAGCAAACAACAAUGAAGCAAUAUAUUGUAACACAUCAAGCAACGAUUAAACAAAACAGACACUAAUUGAAGUAAAUCAGACACCUAUUCCCCUGGGAGGUAUACCUUUUACAAAUAGGCAGGCAACAAACAUCAAAAAGAAGGAAAAUUGAAAGAAACAG
rnacentral:lncRNA from 1 species